CUAACAAGAGCACUUAAUAAAGUAAUGUAUACUAUGUAAUUUCCCAUUCUAAUUUAUACAAUUACUGUGGCCUUAAACUUGGAAUGAUUCAUCGCAGGGAUUGGGAUCGGGAAAGUGUAUCCAGCGAGCAGAAUCUUCCAGGCGGCAGACAAACAGCAGCUGCAUAUACACACAGCAUAUAAAUAUAGAAGUUCCAAGGUGCUUCCUGAACGAGCAGUUUCGAAAAGUUGCUAAACAAGGGGAAGCGAGUACGUUAAAAGGCGAUAACGAAGUCAACUUGAACUUGCAGUGGGAACGAGCGCUCUUUCCGCAUAAAAGCAGCAUUUGCGAAAGCCACGAAUGCAAAGUGCCUGUAAAAAACAGGCAAUAGCUAACGAAUUGCAACUGCCAUGGCAAUUGCAAUCGCAUCGACUGGCUGACACCUCAAGGCAAAGAACGCGAGUUUUGUAGCAUGCGAGUGGCGGCAGGCAAAAGGGUUUCGCACUCGCAGAAAACAGGUUUCGCUCGCGAUAAGUGACUUUGCAUUUGGGUCAAGGUUUCCCAUAGGCUAGACAUGAUGCUACACCGUGCUGGCCCGCCUGUCGUUCAUGUGAUUCCAUGCCGCUCUGAUGCAGUACCUUUCCCACGAACACAACGAUCCGUCAAAGAACACGGACAACAUAACUUGUUUUUCGACAUGGCCUUCUGCGUAAAACAUUAUUUGCCCUUACUAGAAAACUUUACUACAAAUUUGACCAAUAAGCAAAAGUAGCUGCCUGUUUUUAUCAGAACACCUACUGUAUGGGCAUUAAACUAUUGCUAUAUCGAAACA